UGCGUAGGCGGCGCGGUAAGUCGGGUGUGAAAUCUCGGAGCUUAACUCCGAAACUGCAUUCGAUACUGCUGUGCUUGAGGACUGGAGAGGAGACUGGAAUUUACGGUGUAGCGGUGAAAUGCGUAGAUAUCGUAAGGAAGACCAGUGGCGAAGGCGGGUCUCUGGACAGUUCCUGACGCUGAGGCACGAAGGCCAGGGGAGCAAACG
rnacentral:rRNA from 1 species